rnacentral:rRNA from 1 species
AGUAAAAGUCGUAACAAGGUUUCCGUAGGUGAACCUGCGGAAGGAUCAUUAUCGUAGGGCUUUUGUCCUGUCGAGAUAGCGUCCUUGCCUAUUUUUUGGAGCACCGUUCGUUUCCUCAGCAGGCUUGCCUGCUACUGGGGACCCCUCAAACUCUUUGUAAAUACAGUAAUCGUCUGAAAAACAAACAAAAAAUCAAAACUUUCAACAAUGGAUCUCUUGGUUCUGGCAUCGAUGAAGAACGCAGCAAAAUGCGAUAAGUAGUGUGAAUUGCAGAAUUCAGUGAAUCAUCGAAUCUUUGAACGCACAUUGCGCCCUUUGGUAUUCCUUAGGGCAUGCCUGUUCGAGCGUCAUUUACACCCUCAAGCACAGCUUGGUGUUGGGCGUCUGUCCCGCUUCGGCGCGGACUCGCCUCAAAACGAUUGGCAGCCACUUCAGCGGCUUUGAGCGCAGCAGAAUUGCGUCUCUCGUCGCGGCGGGUGGCAUCCAGUAAGCAACAUUUAUAUCUUGACCUCGGAUCAGGUAGGGAUACCCGGUGAACUUAAGCAUAUCAAUAAGCGGAGGA